UAAUACCGCAUACGUCCUACGGGAAAAAGCAGGGGACCUUCGGGCCUUGCGCUAUCAGAUGAGCCUAGGUCGGAUUAGCUAGUUGGUGAGGUAAUGGCUCCACCAAGGCGACGAUCCGUAACUGGUUCUGAGAGGAUGAUCCAGUCCACACUGGAACUGAGACACGGUCCAGACUCCUACGGGAGGCAGCAGUGGGGAAUAUUGGCACAAUGGGCGAAAGCCUGAUCCAGCCAUGCCGCGUGUGUGAAGAAGGUCUUCGGAUUGUAAAGCCACUUUAAGUUGGGAGGAAGGGUUGUAGAUUAAUACUCUGCAAUUUUGACGUUACCGCACANAAUAAGCACCGGCUAACUCUGUGCCAGCAGCCGCGGUAAUACAGAGGGUGCAAGCGUUAAUCGGAAUUACUGGGCGUAAAGCGCGCGUAGGUGGUUCGUUAAGUUGGGAUGUGAAAUCCCCGGGCUCAACCUGGGAACUGCAUCCUAAAACUGGCGAGCUAGAGUAUGGUAGAGGGUGGUGGAAUUUCCCUGUGUAGCGGUGAAAUGCGUAGAAUAUAGGAAGGAACACCAGUGGCGAAGGCGA
rnacentral:rRNA from 1 species